GCAUAUCAAUAAGCGGAGGAAAAGAAACCAACAGGGAUUGCCCCAGUAACGGCGAGUGAAGCGGCAACAGCUCAAAUUUGAAAUCUGGCCUUGUGCCCGAGUUGUAAUUUGUAGAGGAUGCUUUUGGCGACGCGCCUUCCGAGUUCCCUGGAACGGGACGCCAUAGAGGGUGAGAGCCCCGUCCGGUCGUGCGCCUAGCCUCUGUAAAGCUCCUUCGACGAGUCGAGUAGUUUGGGAAUGCUGCUCUAAAUGGGAGGUAUACGUCUUCUAAAGCUAAAUACCGGCCAGAGACCGAUAGCGCACAAGUAGAGUGAUCGAAAGAUGAAAAGCACUUUGAAAAGAGGGUUAAAUAGUACGUGAAAUUGCUGAAAGGGAAGCGCUUAUGACCAGACUUGGGCGCGGCGGAUCAUCCGGCGUUCUCGCCGGUGCACUCCACCGCCCCAGGCCAGCAUCAGUUCGCGCCGGGGGAUAAAGGCUUCGGGAAUGUGGCUCCUCCGGGAGUGUUAUAGCCCGUUGCGUAAUACCCUGGUGCGGACUGAGGUCCGCGCUCUGCAAGGAUGCUGGCGUAAUGGUCAUCAGUGACCCGUCUUGAAACACGGACCAAGGAGUCGUCUUCGUAUGCGAGUGUUCGGGUGUCAAACCCCUACGCGGAAUGAAAGUGAACGUAGGAGAGAGCUUCGGCGCAUCUCCGACCGAUCCUGAUGUUCUCGGAUGGAUUUGAGUAAGAGCAUACGGGGCCGGACCCGAAAGAAGGUGAACUAUGCCUGUGUAGGGUGAAGCCAGAGGAAACUCUGGUGGAGGCUCGCAGCGGUUCUGACGUGCAAAUCGAUCGUCAAACAUGGGCAUGGGGGGCGAAAGACUAAUCGAACCUUCUAGUAGCUGGUUUCCGCCG
rnacentral:rRNA from 1 species